GAGCCGGUAGCUCAGUCGGCAGAGCAACGGACUUUUAAUCCGUGGGUCGCGGGUUCGACUCCCGCCCGGCUCA
rnacentral:tRNA from 1 species